rnacentral:rRNA from 1 species
UUGUUGGCCGGUAUGAAUGGCAUUACGAAGGCCCCACUGUCUUAAGAGGACUCUCCAUGAAAUUGAAUUCGUAGUGAAGAUGCUACGUCCAUAUUGUAAGACGAAAAGACCCCAUUGAGCUUUACUAAAGACUUGUAUGGCUCGAGAUAACUUAAAUAAAAAGUUUAGAUAAUGUGGGAUCCGUUUUUGGUUAAUGAAACACCACUCUUUUAUUUUAAGAGAGCUAACCUUGUAGGGAGAAUGCAAGUUGGAUAGUUUGGUUGGGGCGACCACCUUUUAAAAGGUAACGAAGGUGAGCUUAAGGUCCGUAGUUAAUAACUAGUGGCCUGACUGCAAGGGAAACAUCCCGAGCAGACACUGGG